AUUGAACGCUGGCGGCAGGCCUAACACAUGCAAGUCGAGCGACCGGGGACGGGUGAGUAAUGUAUGGGGUCCUGCCAGAUUGAGGGGGAUAACGACUGGAAACGGUAGUUAAUACCGCAUACUAUCGGAUGAAGCCAUAUGGGAUUAGCUAGUUGGUGAGGUAAUGGCGCACCAAGGCGACGAUCCCUAGCUGGUCUGAGAGGAUGAUCAGCCACACUGGGACUGAGACACGGCCCAGACUCCUACGGGAGGCAGCAGUGGGGAAUAUUGCACAAUGGGCGCAAGCCUGACGCAGCCAUGCCGCGUGAAUGAAGAAGGCCUUCGGGUUGUAAAGUUCUUUCGGUAGCGAGGCGUUAACUACAGAAGAAGCACCGGCUAACUCCGUGCCAGCCGCCGCGGUAAUUC
rnacentral:rRNA from 1 species